ACGCUCGACACCUACGGGAGCAGCAGUGGGGAAUAUUGCACAAUGGGGGAAACCCUGAUGCAGCGACGCCGCGUGAGUGAAGAAGUAUUUCGGUAUGUAAAGCUCUAUCAGCAGGGAAGAAGAUGACGGUACCUGAGUAAGAAGCCCCGGCUAACUACGCGCCAGCAGCCGCGGUAAUCUGAGCGGGCUGGCAAGGC
rnacentral:rRNA from 1 species